AGUGAACGCUGGCGGUAGGCCUAACACAUGCAAGUCGAACGGCAGCACAGUAUGGGCUUCUUCUUACGGGUGGUGAGUGGCGGACGGGUGAGGAAUACAGCGGAACCUACUUUUUCGUGGGGAAUCACGGAGGGAGACUUACGCUAAGACCGCAUAUGACCUACGGGUGAAAGCAGGGGCACUCCGGACCUUGCCAGAUUGAAUCAGCCGAUGCCGGAUUAGCUAGUGGGCGGGGUAAAGGCCCACCAAGGCGUCGAUCCGUAGAGGGUCAGAGAGGAUGAUGAGGCACCCUGGAAGGGAGAGGGGAGCGAGACGCUGCGGGAGGGAGAAGUGGCGAAUAUUGGACAAUGGGCGCAAGCCUGAUCCAGCGAUACCGCGUGAGUGGAGGAGGCCUUCGGGUCGUGUGGCCCUUUUGUUGGGAAAGAAAAGCAGCGGGUUAAUACCCCACUGUUCUGACGGUACCCAAAGAAUAAGGACCGGCUAACUUCGUG
rnacentral:rRNA from 1 species